rnacentral:SRP_RNA from 1 species
GCUGGGCGUGGUGGUGGGCGCCUGUAAUCCCGGCUACUCAGGAGGCUGAGGCAGGAGAAUUGCUUGAACCUGGGAGGCGGAGGUUGCAGUGAGCUGAGAUCACGCCACUGCACUCCAGCCUGGGUGACAGAGCAAGACUCUGUCUCAA